rnacentral:misc_RNA from 1 species
GAAUAAUUCUGAAAGCUGUUACCACUGCUUUUCUCCCCCUCAUUUUUGGACUAGUAUGUCUGGAAUAGUGGAAAAUGGGUUAGGAUUAACAACUAUUAAUCCAAAUCGUCCUCUCUUAUAUUCUGUUGGUUUCUAUGUUGCGAUCCCAUCUGUUGUAACUCAUCUUUCAACAUAUUUAUGUCUAUGCAGAUGAUUUGGGGAUCA